GAUGAACGCUGGCGGCGUGCCUAAUACAUGCAAGUCGAGCGAACGGACGAGAAGCUUGCUUCUCUGAUGUUAGCGGCGGACGGGUGAGUAACACGUGGAUAACCUACCUAUAAGACUGGGAUAACUUCGGGAAACCGGAGCUAAUACCGGAUAAUAUUUUGAACCGCAUGGUUCAAAAGUGAAAGACGGUCUUGCUGUCACUUAUAGAUGGAUCCGCGCUGCAUUAGCUAGUUGGUAAGGUAACGGCUUACCAAGGCAACGAUGGAUAGCCGACCUGAGAGGGUGAGCGGCCACACUGGAAGUGAGACACGGUCCAGACUGCUACGGGAGGCAGGAGUAGGGAAUGUUCAGCAAUGGGCGAAAGCAUGACGGAGGAACGCCGCGUGAGUGAUGAAGGUCUUCGGAUCGUAAAACUCUGUUAUUAGGGAAGAACAUAUGUGUAAGUAACUGUGCAGAUCUUGACGGUACCUAAUCAGAAAGCCACGGCUAACUACGUG
rnacentral:rRNA from 1 species